rnacentral:rRNA from 1 species
UACGAAGGGGGCUAGCGUUGUUAGGAAUUACUGGGCGUAAAGCGCACGUAGGCGGACUUGUAAGUUGGGGGUGCAAUCCCGGGGCUCAACCCCGGAAUUGCCUUCAAGACUGCAAGUCUGGAGGUCAGGAGAGGCGAGCGGAAUUCCGAGUGUAGAGGUGAAAUUCGUAGAUAUUCUGAGGAACACCAGUGGCGAAGGCGGCUCGCUGGACUGAUACUGACGCUGAGGUGCGAAAUCGUUGGGUGCUAUCAUG